GUUCCUUGUUGUCUUUUUUUCUUUCUAUUCUUGUUGUCUUUCUUUCUUUCACAUUGAUUCUCACACGAGUCUUUCAAGAUGUUUGGAAAGGGGAAAAAGGGAGGAUCUCCAUUGAUGCAAAGAAAGAGUGAAACAAACAUGGACAUUGGAGGAGAAGGAAAGAAACUUGAUGGAAAAUUGGAAGGUUAUUUGAAAAAACAAGCAAAGAAAGGUUUAAAUGAUGGUAUUGGUAAAUCAAUCUGGCAAAAACGCUAUUUUGAACAGGUUGCCAAAAACAGAAUUGA
rnacentral:ribozyme from 13 species